UUGCAGCAACGACAAGAAAAUGCUGCUCUCGCUCAUUUAUGACCGUGAACAUUCUGCCCCAGGAAUGCAUAGAUGAACUCACCCCAAUGUCAUUUCCCUCGCCACAAAUUGCAUCCUCCAAAUGAGAGGGGUGGAGGGCGAGGGGAGGCGUCUGGUUACCUCAUUAUAAGGCCUCACACACACACACACCAGCUCCUGGAGUACCCAGUGCCUGCUGAGGGGAAGAAAGAUUGCUGGACUAUCUGUCUCCAGGAGAAACCCAAUAACUGCCACAAUGUCUGAUGAGGAAGCCGAGUAUGAGGAGGAACAGCAGGAAGGUAAGAGAUUUCUA